AAUAUGUAACAGACACCAUCUGGCCUAAAAUAUUUAUUACCUGGCCCUUUACAUAAAAGUUUGUCAAUUCCAGUAUCAAUGAGUAUAGGCAGGAUCAAAUAAAACUGGCAAAAAAAAAGGGGUGGGAUAUUAUAUUCAUGGCUAGGAGGAUUGUACCAGGGCUGUGUGAUCCAGGAGAGAAGGGGUGAGGCAGGGGCAAGGGUGAGACCUGAAAGAGGAUAAGUAAUCAGCUAUGUAAAGAAGGAAAGGGUAUUCCAGGGAGAGGAAACGGUGUGUGCAAAGGCCUGGAUAUGAGAAAGAGAACUGCGUAGUGGUUUUGCUUGGCCACGGUGUAAGGAGACAGUAACAGUAAUAAAACAGGCCGCAUCGACUGAACUGUGGAUGACAGAGACUGUGCCAAUCACACAUUUUAAUUCAGGACAGGGGACGUUGCCCCGCUCUCUUAUAUAAUCGUCCUCCGCCAACUCUGUCAUCACCCCGUGUGCUAGAGAGCAGCCGAAGCUCAGAUAACUCGCGCCUGUCGUCUGUCCUCCCCUCUCCACCCUGCAAGGCCCUGGACAGUUCCCGUCCUUGACGCCGGCCUUACUGGAGUCCUGGGGGUCGCAGACCCGGGAGAAGCCUGGCGGGAGGGGGCUCUUGUCCACCACAAUCUGGAUAUCGGCCACUAUGUUCUCCUGAGGAUUCUGGAGGAAGGGAGACACAGUGAGGGUCACCCAACAGCAGGGACGGCGCUCCUGGCACAGGGCUAUGAGAAUGGUCACGAGCACCGGCGAAACUUGUUGGUCCAAAGCCUUGACGACUCCUAAAUGGACAGUAGGGGUGCAUGAGUUCCCUGUUCCAACUCUCUGCCUCGUUCUCUCCAGCACCAUUUCCAAAGGACUCAGUGUCUUUUAAGAGGAGUCACGUCUCCGCCUCUGCACAAGGAGCUCAUUUUUCUGCCCCUGUCUUACAACUACACCCUCCUCUGCUGCACAGCUGCCAGGACUUCAUCUUAGUGCCCUCACUAGGAAUUUGGUAAGUCUCCCGGGCUUUGGAAAUGGUCACAUACUCAAGAAUGAGUUCGCAGCUCUGCAAAACCCUGUGCCAGUUUGCCACUCUGUGAGAGAUGCAUGGGGCAGUGCUUCCUAAUCACCUCCUCCAGGCCACCCCCCAGAUCCACGGAUGCCUGGCUUUGGGGAAGCUCUUCUCUUCUGUUUCCUAUCAGUCUGACUCAAACUCAGGGAUACCCAGUGUGUGAACACCCAAACAUCUAGUGGGUGUAGCCUCUCUCAGACUCCCAGUAGUUCAAUAUAUGACCAUUCCUAUAGUCCUAAUUACCAUCAUGGGCAAUGUUCAAUUGGCCCCACCUAAACACUCCCCAUCAGGCUGUCUCCUUAAGAAUUUGAAAACUUUGGA